CCUACGGGAGGCAGCAGUGGGGAAUUUUGGACAAUGGGCGAAAGCCUGAUCCAGCCAUGCCGCGUGCGGGAAGAAGGCCUUCGGGUUGUAAACCGCUUUAGUCCGGGAAAAAGGGGUGCGAGGAUAAUACCCUUGUGCUUUGAUGGUACUGGAAGAAUAAGCACCGGCUAACUACGUGCCAGCAGCCGCGGUAAU
rnacentral:rRNA from 1 species